rnacentral:rRNA from 1 species
CCAGAGAACUUUCCAGAGAUGGAUUUGGUGCCCUUCGGGAACUCUGAGACAGGUGCUGCAUGGCUGUCGUCAGCUCGUGUUGUGAAAUGUUGGGUUAAGUCCCGCAACGAGCGCAACCCUUAUCCUUUGUUGCCAGCGGUUAGGCCGGGAACUCAAAGGAGACUGCCAGUGAUAAACUGGAGGAAGGUGGGGAUGACGUCAAGUCAUCAUGGCCCUUACGAGUAGGGCUACACACGUGCUACAAUGGCGCAUACAAGAGAAGCGACCUCGCGAGAGCAAGCGGACCUCAUAAAGUGCGUCGUAGUCCGGAUUGGAGUCUGCAACUCGACUCCAUGAAGUCGGAAUCGCUAGUAAUCGUGGAUCAGAAUGCCACGGUGAAUACGUUCCCGGGCCUUGUACACACCGCCCGUCACACCAUGGGAGUGGGUUGCAAAAGAAGUAGGUAGCUUAACCUUCGGGAGGGCGCUUACCACUUUGUGAUUCAUGACUGGGGUGAAGUCGUAACAAGGUAAGCGUAGUGCU